UGGGGAAUAUUGCGCAAUGGGGGAAACCCUGACGCAGCGACGCCGCGUGAGCGAUGAAGGCCUUCGGGUCGUAAAGCUCUGUUUUAGGGGACGAAGGACCGCGCUAGUAAUAUGAGCGCGGGGUGACGGUACCUUAAGAGGAAGCCCCGGCUAACUACGUGCCAGCAGCCGCGGUAAGACGUAGGGGGCGAGCGUUGUCCGGAAUUACUGGGCGUAAAGAGCACGUAGGUGGACAAUUAAGUCAGGUGUGAAAGACCGGGGCUCAACUCCGGAGUUGCACUUGAAACUGGUUGUCUUGAGGGCAGGAGAGGAAAGUGGAAUUCCUGGUGUAGCGGUGAAAUGCGUAGAAAUCAGGAGGAACACCAGUGGCGAAGGCGGCUUUCUGGACUGACCCUGACACUGAGGUGCGAAAGCGUGGGGAGCAAACAGG
rnacentral:rRNA from 1 species